rnacentral:rRNA from 1 species
GAUGAACGCUGGCGGCGUGCCUAAUACAUGCAAGUCGAGCGAACGGACGAGAAGCUUGCUUUUCUGAUGUUAGCGGCGGACGGGUGAGUAACACGUGGAUAACCUACCUAUAAGACUGGGAUAACUUCGGGAAACCGGAGCUAAUACCGGAUAAUAUUUUGAACCGCAUGGUUCAAAAGUGAAUGACGGUCUUGCUGUCACUUAUAGAUGGAUCCGCGCUGCAUUAGCUAGUUGGUAAGGUAACGGCUUACCAAGGCAACGAUGCAUAGCCGACCUGAGAGGGUGAUCGGCCACACUGGAACUGAGACACGGUCAAGACUCCUACGGGAGGCAGCAGUAGGGAAUCUUCCGCAAUGGGCGAAAGCCUGACGGAGCAACGCCGCGUGAGUGAUGAAGGUCUUCGGAUCGUAAAACUCUGUUAUUAGGGAAGAACAUAUGUGUAAGUAACUGUGCACAUCUUGACGGUACCUAAUCAGAAAGCCACGGCUAACUACGUG